AGACAUGACGGCUGCUUGGAUGCUCGUGCGCGUCUUCCAGAGCAACGGGCGGAAAGGGCGUUGGAUGAAGUUCUUCGCAAAGCAAAUUAAUACAUAGCCAGAUGGGCAUCUCGGUACCAAGUCCUUGCAAACUACUUUUUCUGACACAAUGGCACACAGAGAUUUAGGUCGGAGUGAUAGAGUCAAGCAUUUCUCAGCUCUUUCUGAUCCAGGCGGCCCAGAGAGUGAAAUUGAGAGCAGCUCAGCAGAAAGUCGCGUUUCCGGCAAGCAGAACAUUGAAAAAACUUCUGUACUACAGGGAAGUGCUGUUGAUUCAAGUCCUUGGGACAGUGAAGAAGAGGGCCUUUCUAAACAUAAGGAGGUUAAAGAGGAGAAGAAGAACGUUGAGCUUCAAAAAGUUAUCAGGCCAUCAGACGUCAAAGCCACAAGCAUCAACCAAACCUUCACUCCCUCUGAAUGAAGGUUUUAAAGAGACUUUGAAAGAUACAGAUUUUGUAGGCAGACAUUUCCAAUCACCUGGGAAAUUUCAGAUAAAAAAUCAACAUGAUCAAAGUUUGCAGGUUCCUUAUCAAUCUUCAAUUUCCAGAAACAAAACCACAGUACCGGAUCCAAUCACUCAGUCAAGCUAUCCUGGAUGGAGUGAUUCAUCAAGUGAGACACAGCCAAUAUUCUCUAUUUAUGGAAGAGCUAAUGAAGACAAUCAGAAGAAGAAAGGUCAAGUCCUAAUAGAGGAGAAGAAAAGGAAGAAAGGAAAUUUUAAAGAAACCUUAAAGAAAAACAUGAAGGACCUCAACAUCCAGCACAAAUCAAGCCAAACAUCCACCAACAUGCCCUACAAGGAAGACCCUGUAUCCAGCCAGCAGUUUAUUCAAGUUUUGUCCAAAGAGAAACCUGAGGCAGAGAAGAUCUCUUCUGAGGCUGGGAUGUCUUUGACAGAGCUUGGACAGACAAAUGUUGGCUUUACUGAGGAAUGCGUUGAACCCAUAAGUGUAGGGGUAGCUUCAGAGGAAAAUAUAGUGGUUGGAAUCAUGAAAGAUGCCCAGAGUUAUGAAAAAAAUAGCCUAAUCUACUAUUUUGAUUUUGGACAUCAGAACUUCUAUGAGACAAAGAAGGAAUAUAAUGAAGCUUGCAUUAGUAACCUAGCAGACUGGUCUGAUGAUGUGAUUCGGCAUUGUUGGAGAGAGCUGUUUGCGGUGGUAAGGAUCCUAGUGAAUGUGGUCUCUUUGUUUUUGAUUGAAUUGGUGAAUUUCUUAAGUCGGUCGUUCAUCCAAAUCCUAGUGGCUGGACUCUUGACAGUAAUAGGAGACCACAUGCUGAAGCCACUUCUGGCAACUUUGUUCAACAGCCUUCUGCAACCCAUCAUGAUAUUCCUGUUGAAUAUUUUCACCAGCAUAAGAAAUCUCUUGAACCCUUUAAUUGACAUCAUCAGAAGACUGGUAAUGCAAAUAGCUGCUCUGUUGCAUGCCUUCAGACUAGUGGAGGUGAAUUUGAAUCGUGCUCCAUCCAUCCAUCAGGAAGUGUAACCAAUCAAGUUGCAUUUCUAGGAUGUGUGAAAAUCCUUGGAGAUGAUGGUGAGGAUUGGUUGUAAGUGAGAAUCCCUAAACUGGAUUUUUCAGUGACCAGUGGUUAUUCAAAGCUAGUGGCAGAAAUUAUACAUUCUGGUAAUUUGGAGCUUUACAUUUUAAUUGAAUGCUCCUUCUCCCAAGCCAUUUGUUAUAUGAAACUUGAAUAGUGAUUGUGCUCAAUUCUUUUGUUUGGACAUUGGUCAUUGCUUGUGCACAUGACCUGUUUUGCUGAAAUCUUGGUCAUGUGCUAUCUUUCAUGCAGUUUAUUGAAUGUUUGUACUCAUGCUUUGUUAUCCAGGACUUACUAGUCAAUGCAUUCAUGCUGUCUUCCGUAAAGCAUAUUAAGUGUCUGUGAUCAAUUGCCCUACAAGAGUUGGUCAGUUUUCUGGCUUACAUGGUUCCCAUUUCUCAGGAUGUGUAGUCACUUUUACUAUUCUGUGAAAUCUUGGUAGUUUCUCAGAAAAAAUCCACCUCUAUGUAUAUUGGACUAUUAAGAAUAGUAAGGUCAGUGUUGAGUUAGCUGCUCUCUAUCAGAAUGUUAGUGCUUUACCACAUCAAAAAGUUUGAGUUCUCAUUCAUUGCCAUCCAGUAGAAAGUGUGUAUGUCUACACUUUGCUGAAGUUCCUUCUCUCCAUCUUUAAACUCCUCUGAAUCUCUACAAUCCUCCAGUUCUAGACUCUUGCACAUCCUGAUUUUAAUAUUUUACAAUUGGCAGCUGUGCCUUCAACUCUCUCGGCUUUAGCGUUCUCUGAACCUUUCUAUUUCUGUACAAUAUCUUCUCCUUUAAGAUGUUUCUCAUAGCCUUCAUCUUUGACCAAACUGUUGGUCAUCUGCCCUAUAAAUAUAUGUGGCUUGGUGCCUAAUGUUAUUAGAUAAUGCUUCUAUGAAGUGCCUUGGGAUAUUUUCCAAUGUUAACGGUACAAUGUAAAUUCUAAUUGUUUUUCUUGUUCCUUAAUCAUCCAAAUAUUUUUAUGCAUAAUAGAAGGUUGUGGCCACUUUGCCCAGCCCUUACUUUCUAAUCCUGGAAAAUAUUCCUUCCUAUAGUACUACCACCAGAACCAAAAUGAUUUGUUCAUUUGUUAUGCAUAGAUGUUUCUGGGAUCCUGCUGCAGCUGUAAUGUUUGCUUACAGUCGGUACUGGCUUAGCUGGAUACAGGAGGAGUAUCUCAAGUGCCAUAGAAAUGCAAGUAUUUUUUUAAGGAACUUAACAUCUGCCGAUGUGACUUGCACAAGGGCUACAGAAAGAUAUUUUCCAACUGUGUUCCAAUAUGUCCAAAUUGAAGCAAUUAUUUCUACAGAGUCUUUAUAAUAGUGAUCUUCCUUCCAAUAUUCUAGGAUCGUAGUUAGAUUGAAAAUUAUGACUUGGGCCAAUGAUUCCCAAAACUGUCCACCACUAUGGUUUUUCUCAUCCCAAUUUUAGGUUUGUUGUAAACUAAGUGAUGGUGAUCAAUAGCUAUAAUCAGUCAACAAUUCCUUAUCAUUGUAUUGUGACUGCCAGAAUGGUAGACAGUGAAAUAAAUGAACCUUGGUUCUCUUUUGCUACAAGCAUGUAUGUAUUCCUAAAGAACUAAAGACUGUCCCACAUUUCAGAGUACAGAAAAAUAUGUAAAAGAACCGAAUGUGAAAAAUAUUACAUGCUUCUAUGGAGGUGGUACAUUCACGCUACUGUAUGAAGGAUAACAGUGAAAUAGUUCUCUCUUGAAUGCUGAUUAUAUCACAGCAAAGUUUAAAGUCUUGGUACUUUGGUAAUUAGAUCGCAAAAUGACGCAUGGUCUUUGAGUAUUAAGAUUUGUAACAUAUUGAAAGAUGUUUAACAAAUUACUGCUAAGAGAGUUGGUCUCCCACUGAGGGUAAUAGCAGACCACAGGUCUCCCAUUCAGAGAGUUGGUAGUAGAGUAACAUAUUGUAGAGUACUGGAUUCACAUUUAUUGGAACAACAGAGUAUAGGACUCUCAUUUGGACAGUUAUCAAUCCCAGUUGCAGAGUAUUAGAUUUGUUUUCAAAGGAUUGGCCUCUCUUUUAAGGAUCAAUAGAGCACUGGCCUUUCACUCAUGGUGUUAGCAGUUCUAGUAGUAGAGCAUUGGACUCCCAUUUCAGAGAAUUGGUAGAUAUAACACUAGAGACUGGAUUCCCAACAGAGGGACCAGAAAAGCACUGAACUCCCAUUCAAGGUUCGCUAGACAUCCACUUGGGCAACAACACUUCUCAAUGGAUGGAAUCCUCGUGUAAUAUAUCAAAGCUGCCAUGUGGGACAUCUCAAGGAACACUGCAGUUUGGUGUGGGGAAAUAAAAGAAUACUUUUGAAGAUGAUUCCAUCAAACUAUACUUUUUGUUGUUGUGUUCAUUGUCUCAAUACUGCAAGAAGAUCAAAUCAAUGUCCUUUACCAGCUAGUAAAACUACAUUGCAAGAAGUUAUGAAACUUAGUUCUGAUGUAACUGUUAUAAAUUCAGGUUAGCAUUUAAAGGAUCGUAUUCACCUUUGCCCAGAUCAAACACAAGUGUAGUUAAACCCAUUGUUUGAGCAUAGCAUGUUGUACUUCUGUUAAAAAUGACAGAUAAAUGUUCAAUACAAUUUCAACCCCUUUUAUCAAAGACAAGAAUGCAUUAAGCAACUCUGAGACUUGAAUCAUUGUGGGGAAAUGAUUCCUAAUUCUAUCCAGAAAUUCUUAAUGUGCUCUUCAGAAAUGGUUUAGUUAUACCAAUGCACAUCAGCCCCUAUGUUGUAAAAUGUCCUUUGGUAAUUUAUUUCAAAAUUGUAAAUAUAUACCUUAUGUAAUAUGCAAGAUUUCAGACUCUUGUCUUUUCUCACCAAACAUAAUAAAGGCUUCUGAAUCAAUAACC